rnacentral:rRNA from 1 species
UACAGAGGGUGCGAGCGUUAAUCGGAAUUACUGGGCGUAAAGCGCGCGUAGGCGGCUUUGCAAGUCGGGUGUGAAAUCCCCGGGCUCAACCUGGGAAUUGCAUUCGAUACUGGAUAGCUAGAGUUCGGCAGAGGGAAGCGGAAUUUCUGGUGUAGCGGUGAAAUGCGUAGAUAUCAGAAGGAACAUCAGUGGCGAAAGCGGCUUCCUGGACCAGAACUGACGAUCAGGCACGAAAGCGUGGGGAGCAAACAGG